UGCAUGGGGACCGCGAUCUCCCCACGAGGCGGCAGGCUGAAGAAUCGCGUCCUGACUGGAUUUGAAAGGACGCUGCCAUG
rfam:Sphingomonas changbaiensis NBRC 104936 DNA, contig: SCH01S25.